rnacentral:lncRNA from 1 species
UUGAGCAUCAUUUUCACUGCAAAAAACUCUCUCUUCCUUUCUGAAAAACCAGAUUUCAGAAAUUUUCGGAAAAACUUCAAAAAAAAAAACUUCUUCUCUUUGGUUUUCACAAGCUAGAAAUAAUGGUUUGAAGUUAAGAGGAUCUUUCUUAGGUGUCUUGGUUGAGAUUUUUGUUUUUCAAGCUGUGAGUUUUUUCUGUUUCUUUUAGCUGUGAUUCUGCUUGUUGAAACUAUGGGUUUUUUCUUGCUGACUUCUGGUUGAAAAUUUUCCAAGUAGCUGUUGUUUGAUUGUUGUUGAUCUAUGCUCUGAAAUGAGCCUUGGUUUUCUGACCGUUAUUUGGUCAUUUCUCUGUUGUAUUUUCAGUUUCAAGGUAUGUAACAAUAUUCAUCUUGAAUGGAAUUAAUUUUGAGUUCAAAAUCUGUAUUUGGAACUUGUUUUGGUUAUCUGAACUUUGAUGUUGGUUUUCAAGAUCAUGACUUUGUUGAAUCUAGGUUUUAUUAAACCAUGUGAUAAUAUUAGCUUAAAUGGCUGUUGAAUUCAAUCAUGAAAUCUGUGAUAUUGUGUUGUACAUGUGUUAAAACUUGACAAGGUUGAUUGCUGAAUCAGUGUAUAUACCUAUAAAACUAUGCCCAAAAUUCCUCUUUUAUAGCAGCACAAAAAGAAAGUGAAGGUGACCCUUUAAAUGGUCAGAUUCAUCCCUUAAUAGUGCAUAAUAGUAUUGACUCCUUCAGUAUAUGUCUAAGUUAUUUUCCAUUCCCCUCUUUUCUUCUUUAUUGAGAUGAGAACUAUGGAGUAAAUCAUGGUUUUGGAUAUUUUUGCUUGUUUGUAGGGCUAACCUUAAGACAUGGUUAGACUUAUGGACGACAUUAUUUUUCUUUACUCAUUUUGUAUUAGGAUUGACUUGAUAACAUUGUAGGUCCUUACAUUUGAAGAUGCUUUGUGAAUUUGACCCUGUCACAUGGUCAAACUCAUGAGAAUCUUGGAUCAUUUAAAGCUGGAGCAGUAGUAGUUUAGGAAACUCCUCUUUUUAUUUGGUUGUAAUUUAGUUUAAGGCAUUAAUGUAGUUUAUAUUUUGUACCCUAUUUAAUUUUGGGAUUUGUAAUCAAUUGAACUGGACUUUAUAAAUUUAUAGACUAGUUAACGUAGCUCCAGUAGUUUAUUUAGCUAAGUUCUAAAUGUAGAUUAGUACGCUAUGUUUAAAAAGGUAACAUUUGGCUGCUGAGUUUUGUUUAGUUGUUUGUUAUUGAUUCCAGCAAUUUGAAAGGGACUGUUC